UACGUAGGGUGCAAGCGUUGUCCGGAAUUAUUGGGCGUAAAGAGCUCGUAGGCGGUUCGUCGCGUCGGCUGUGAAAUCCCGAGGCUCAACCUCGGGUCUGCAGUCGAUACGGGCGGACUGGAGUUCGGCAGGGGAGACUGGAAUUCCUGGUGUAGCGGUGAAAUGCGUAGAUAUCGAGAGGAACACCAGUGGCGAAGGCGAGUCCCUGGACAACUCCUGACGCUGAGGCACGAAAGCUAGGGGAGCAAACAGG
rnacentral:rRNA from 1 species